rnacentral:sRNA from 1 species
GGAAGAGAAGAGCCUGAGAGAAAAAUAACACUUGGACUGGCACCAGGAGGGUCUGUGCAACAUUCACUUGCCUGCAGUGGCUCCUGUGAGCCCCAGUAAGACCACCCACAGCAGUGAAUCAAUGAAGACAGGACACUUGGAGAGCUUUUCCUGGGAUGUCUUCUUUAUUGAAGCUUUUCAAGAUCCUGAGUGGAAGACCAAGAGAAGCUGCACCUGGACUCCUGACCAUGGAAUCUGAGCUCUUAAGAGUAGGUUGUUCUGAUCUAAAUUUGUGCUGAUUUCAUGUAAGGCAUGAUCAUAUCAUUAGAAUGAGAAGCAAAAGGACAGUGCAUCAAUAUUCAGGCAGCAAUGGUGUGAACAAUGAGUAGAGGCACAGACCCCAAAGCCAUGUUGGGUGGAUUUGUGUUCGAGCCCCAUCACCUACAUGUUAUGUGAACUUGGGGUGUUCCUACAUUUUCCUAUUCUUUGAUUUCCACAUAAUGAAAUGAACUGGAUGGAGGGUUACUCUCAUGGAAUUAUCUUGAGGAUUAAUGAAUCUCGGCACAGUCAUUAGAAGAACAACUGACACAUGAUAAGUACUCUAUAGACCAUUAGGCAUCCUAAAAGAACCUAUUCUAUUCAUACCAGUGGCUCUGAACAUAUGGAAGGCUCUCAUUAUUUACCCCAAAGAGAUAAGCAUGAGUCAUCUUACUGUAGUCAAAACAUUUGACCAAAAGAUGAACUUAUCAACCUAUUACCUUUCGGAAAUUAAAUUCAGUUAAGAAAACAUGCAUAAAGUCUUAUAGUGAGUACCAUUUCAAUUUUAAACGGCAAAGAGAACACCUGCAAACAUGAUCAUAUCUGAAGAUCUUGCUGCUCCCUCCUAGGGUUUAGAUAUGGUCUGAGAGCAUCAAUUGAAACUCGUGCAAGGGAAGCUCGGGCUGCGUUGUGGUGAUACUGAGGUGAAAAGCCUUUACCAAGUGAUGCUGGGUGAAUGAUAACUGGGUCAUGGGGUUAUAUGGAGGUUGGUGUUUUCCUCUAGAAGGAGGUCACGAGGAUGCCAUCUCCUCUGACCUCUCUGACUCCUCAUAUCACCAUUCUGUCUCUUUGGCACAUGCUUGUGACAUUGUGGUACCAUCUGGCAUGGGGCCUUCACCCGAGCCAAGAAGAUGCUGAGGAUUCUGUGAUCUAGAGCAUCUACAACCCUAGAUAAGUAAGACGCCUUCCUGUACAAAGUGCUUGGACUGGGAUGCAGUCCCAUAGCAGAACGAAUGCUUAAUUAACACCCACAGGCCUGGAUUUCAAUUCUCGGCACCACUGGGGAAACUCCAUAAAAUACCAAGAUCCACAUAGCACCAUAAAAUGAACUGAACUGACAUUCCUUCUGCCCCAAGAUUUAAGAAUCAAACAAAUUUCCAUAGUGAUAGUCAUCACUAAAACACUUGGGAACAGCUACUGAAUUCUCAUACUGUAAUUGUUGUACAGUAUUCUCAAUGAUUGUGCAGCAAACUAAACUAGAAUGAUAUUUUAUGAUAUAUUACAGAAUAGUUGCACAGAAAGAUGACAGAAGAUGAUAAAUAGAUUAGAUAGAUA